rnacentral:rRNA from 1 species
GGAUUAGAUACCCUGGUAGUCCACGCCGUAAACGAUGUGUACUAGAUAUUGGAGAUAUUGACUCUUCAGUGUCGUAGCUAACGCAAUAAGUACACCGCCUGGGAAGUACGGUCGCAAGACUAAAACUCAAAGGAAUUGACGGGGGCCCGCACAAGCGGUGGAUUAUGUGGUUUAAUUCGAAGCAACGCGCAGAACCUUACCUAGGCUUGAAAUCCCGAGAAGAUCGACCAAAAUUGAUUGUGCUCUUCGGAGAACUCGGUGACAGGCGCUGCAUGGCUGUCGUCAGCUCGUGCCG